CUUUUCCUCGAGAUCUGAUGAGAAGCGAAGAUCUGCUCCCACUAUGGAGUAUCGGCUGGAGUCUAAGCUGUGGGAAUCUAUUAGAAGAGAGUCCCCUGAAUGGGUUUCUAUAAUUGGUUUUGACAGGGGAGGUUUUGAUUUUAUAUUAUGUAUUUUUCUUGCAACUAUCAUUGGAAAAUCCACUUCAAAAUAUUUUCUAGGGAGAAGAUUUUCAUCCUUUAGUCUCCAGAACAAGGUAUCCAUGCCAGCACCAAGAUUAACAAUCUGACAGUUGCACUCAGUCUUCUUUAGAAAAGCCUCAAGCAG
rnacentral:lncRNA from 1 species